UGAUGAUAAGACUGUGACACAGGAUGCCACCUUUAGUCUUGUGAUGAAGCAAAGCUCAGGAAGAAGUGUGAUUAAAUGGUACCCACAUGUGUGCUGCUGAGAAGGAUGUACACGGGCACGUGCAGCCUCCUCAGCAACUUCAAGUCUGUCAGCGUGCUGAGGUCACAGAAACAAGAAAAGCAGCUUCAGACUUCAGAGUGUUGUUUACAGUUUUCUGUCAUCAUGAUCUCCCCUGAAGUUUAUCACUAUUAUACAAGCAAUGGUGAUGGUGUGGAGAGACGGUGGUGUUUCCUCAGAAGAACUAGCAGAGUCACCAAGGACACGAGUCCAUCUCACCACCUUGACUUGCUGACUGAUGCUCGUCUGCACUGCACAGAGGAAAUCAACUGACCGAGUUUCUGAGUGAGGGAGAGAGGAGUCAUCAUCCAGGUAAAGUGACGUGGAUCAGUGGACACACUUGUCUCCCCUUUAAAGGAGAUACUCUUAGAGAGAGACGAUCCGAGUCAUCAUAAAAUAUGGGAAGGAUAUCACUAUUAGACUGUCUAACCUGCCGGAGCAGCACUGAAUGACCACCACACAUGAGCAUGUUCCUGCAACAUUCAGCAGCUUUGCUUUUGUGUCAAAUGUCAACCAGCUGGAGAGGAAACUACACCAGUGUACUGGGAUGUUUCACCAACACAUGCCAGACGCUGUAACUUCAUGGUUUCAUCACCAGAGACAGCCCCGCCCACCUCAGGACCUCGCCAUUGAUCAUGAUGAUUACAAUGAUGACAGCGAGCGGAACUAAGACUGUAAAAAUCCACGACCAGAAUGUUUAGAUGCUUUCUAAUUAUUAAUGAAUACUGAGAGCCUCUUUCUGUGUUUUGUCUGGUUUGUUUUGUUUUGUUUUUUACCUCAUUUGUUACUAACAAAGUUCACCAAACUCACACAGUUUACAUUCUGUAUGUUUCCAUCUUUACCAGCCAUAGUCUAACUGCAAUUAAGCAAAUAAUCCUUAGAAAUCAUCAUUUUUCUCUUUUGUAAUUGAUGAUAAUUCAGUGAAUAUACUGCGCUGCUUCCUUUUAUUGCGUCACACAUUCCUUUAAGUUUUUCCGUGUCCAGUUAUUUUUUUACUGCUGUUUGAAUUCUCUGCAUGUUUGACCCUGUAGACUGUUUAAUGGACUGCUUGUCUUGUAACCGCUGCCUGUUUUUGA